rnacentral:rRNA from 1 species
GGACCUGACUGCUAUCGGAUUGAUACUAAGCCAUGCGAGUCAUUGUAGCAAUACAAGGCAGACGGCUCAGUAACGCGUAGUCAAUCUACCCUAUGGACGGGAAUAACCUCGGGAAACUGAGAAUAAUGCCCGAUAGAACAUUAUGCCUGGAAUGGUUUAUGUUUCAAAUGAUUUAUCGCCGUAGGAUGGGACUGCGGCCUAUCAGUUUGUUGGUGAGGUAAUGGCCCACCAAGACUAUUACAGGUACGGGCUCUGAAAGGAGUAGCCCGGAGAUGGGUACUGAGACACGGACCCAGGCCCUAUGGGGCGCAGCAGGCGAGAAAACUUUGCAAUGUGCGAAAGCACGACAAGGUUAAUCCGAGUGGUUUCUGCUAAAGAAACCUUUUGUUAGUCCUAGAAACACUAUUGAAUAAGGGGUGGGCAAGUUCUGGUGUCAGCCGCCGCGGUAAAACCAGCACCUCAAGUGGUCAGGAUGAUUAUUGGGCCUAAAGCAUCCGUAGCUCGUUUUGUAAGUUUUCGGUUAAAUCCAUGCGCUUAACGUAUGGGCUGCCGGGAAUACUGCAUAACUAGGAAGUGGGAGAGGUAGACGGUACUCGGUAGGAAGGGGUAAAAUCCUUUGAUCUAUU